UGGAGACUAGACUGCCUUUGCAGGACUAACAAAUUAGCCACAAGAUUAGAAAUUAUGGUUUAGGAGUAAUGCGGCUGGAGGCUGCAAGAUUCUGAGCCUUCCCAAAUUGCUCCUGGGGAUAACAUCACUAUAGUUAAACCUAAGAUCAGUGCUUGAGAUAUUCAGCAGACCCUGCGCUGGAUGGAUCAGCUGGCAUCACCCAGAUCG
rnacentral:lncRNA from 1 species